rnacentral:rRNA from 1 species
GAUGAACGCUGACAGAAUGCUUAACACAUGCAAGUCUACUUGAACUUCGGUUUGGGUGGCGGACGGGUGAGUAACGCGUAAAGAACUUGCCUCACAGUUAGGGACAACAUUUGGAAACGAAUGCUAAUACCUGAUAUUAUGAUUUUAGGGCAUCCUAGGAUUAUGAAAGCUAUAUGUGCUGUGAGAGAGCUUUGCGCCCCAUUAGCUAGUUGGAGAGGUAACGGCUCACCAAGGCGAUGAUGGGUAGCCGGCCUGAGAGGGUGAACGGCCACAAGGGGACUGAGACACGGCCCUUACUCCUACGGGAGGCAGCAGUGGAGAAUAUUGGACAAUGGACCAAAAGUCUGAUCCAGCAAUUCUGUGUGCACGAUGACGUUUUUCGGAAUGUAAAGUGCUUUCAGUUGGGAAGAAAAAAAUGACGGUACCAACAGAAGAAGUGACGGCUAAAUACGUG